UACGAAGGGGGCUAGCGUUGCUCGGAAUCACUGGGCGUAAAGCGCUCGUAGGCGGCUUUUUAAGUCAGGGGUGAAAUCCUGGAGCUCAACUCCAGAACUGCCUUUGAUACUGAGGAGCUCGAGUCCGGGAGAGGUGAGUGGAACUGCGAGUGUAGAGGUGAAAUUCGUAGAUAUUCGCAAGAACACCAGUGGCGAAGGCGGCUCACUGGCCCGGUACUGACGCUGAGGUGCGAAAGCGUGGGGAGCAAACAGG
rnacentral:rRNA from 1 species